UACGUAGGGAGCAAGCGUUGUUCGGAUUUACUGGGCGUAAAGGGCGCGUAGGCGGCAUAUUAAGUCAUCUGUGAAAUCUCCGAGCUUAACUCGGAACUGUCAGCUGAUACUGAUGUGCUAGAGUGCGGAAGGGGCAAUCGGAAUUCUUGGUGUAGCGGUGAAAUGCGUAGAUAUCAAGAGGAACACCGGAGGUGAAGCCGGGUUGCUGGGCCGACACUGACGCUGAGUGCGCGAAAGCCAGGGGAGCAAACGGG
rnacentral:rRNA from 1 species